rnacentral:rRNA from 1 species
AUUGAACGCUGGCGGCAGGCCUAACACAUGCAAGUCGAGCGCGAAAUUUCCUUCGGGAAUGAGUAGAGCGGCGGACGGGUGAGGAACGCGUAGGAAUCUACCUAGUAGUGGGGGACAACAAUCGGAAACGGUUGCUAAUACCGCAUAAGCCCUAAGGGGGAAAGCAGGGGAUCUUCGGACCUUGCGCUAUUGGAUGAGCCUGCGUCGGAUUAGCUAGUUGGUGGGGUAAUAGCCUACCAAGGCAACGAUCCGUAGCUGGUCUGAGAGGAUGAUCAGCCACACUGGGACUGAGACACGGCCCAGACUCCUACGGGAGGCAGCAGUGGGGAAUAUUGGACAAUGGGCGCAAGCCUGAUCCAGCCAUGCCGCGUGUGUGAAGAAGGCUCUAGGGUUGUAAAGCACUUUCAGUAGGGAGGAAAAGUUAGUAGUUAAUAACUGCUAACCCUGACGUUACCUACAGAAGAAGCACCGGCAAACUCCGUGCCAGCAGCCGCGGUAAUACGGAGGGUGCGAGCGUUAAUCGGAAUUACUGGGCGUAAAGCGCGCGUAGGCGGUUUGAUAAGCUGGAUGUGAAAGCCCUGGGCUCAACCUGGGAAUUGCAUCCAGAACUGUCUGACUAGAGUACAGUAGAGGUGAGUGGAAUUUCCUGUGUAGCGGUGAAAUGCGUAGAUAUAGGAAGGAACAUCAGUGGCGAAGGCGA